GUGUGUGUGUGUGUGUGUGUGUGUGUGUAUCUCUCUAUCUCUCUUAUACAGAUGCAAAUGUUCCACCAUCCUCCCAAAGGCUGCUGCAGGAGCACUGAAGGCACAUACCUGGAGAAAGACCUCAGCCAGGACAACUUUCAUCAGGAGGUUUCUGCUGGACCACGCUGUCAACACCAAGCUGAGGCAGGAGGAGGAGCAUGGAGACAUGCUGCUUAUGAGUGAGCAGUCUCUGAGGGAGGGAUCUGAUGAGACACUUUUUAAUCUGCCAGAGUCCUGGGAGGGAUGUACAAUACGUCCUGCCUCUGCAGCCCCAGCCACAGUGGACUAUCCCGGGGACUACCAGUUCCAGCUCCAACUUCAGAAGUCUGGCACAGCAAAGUCCGUCACAGCCCCUUAUAGAGCUUCUCAACAAGCUGUACUGCUAGCUGGAUAAAAGUAACCCCAUUGAAGAGCCGGUGAGCAGGGAGCCUCCUGCGGACGAGGUCCUCAGGGCUGCUGCAGUGAACAAGAAGUGUAUCCACUCACACCCCAUACUGUACGGUGGCUGUAACAAUGAACAAUGAUCAAUCUCUGCAGCAAAUAAUAAAGUUGGUGACUUUUCAAUGUAA